rnacentral:sRNA from 1 species
AAGAAAAAAAAGGCCCAAAACUCAACCGUCUUUGGGCCCAGGGGAAUGGCUCUUACAGAGCCUACGCUAAUCACUAAAGAGUCGUGUUGUGCUUUCCUUAUAAGUGUAGUCGGUAUGCACGCGUUAGCGAUGAU